rnacentral:rRNA from 1 species
CAUCCGAGGCCCCGUAAUUGGAAUGACUACAAUUUAAAUCCUUUAAGAAGGAUCCAUUGGAGGGCAAGUCUGGUGCCAGCAGCCGCGGUAAUUCCAGCUCCAAUAGCGUAUAUUAAAGUUGCUGCAGUUAAAAAGCUCGUAGUUGGAUCUCAGUUACGGGCAGGUGGUUCACUUUACAGUGCUACUACCUGAACCGAACCUAUUGCUGGAUCUCUUGGGUGCCCUUCACUGGGUGCCCCUUGAGACCAGAGCGUUUACUUUGAGAAAAUUAGAGUGCUCAAAGCAGGCGAAUGCCUGAAUAGUUGUGCAUGGAAUAAUGAAAUAUGGCCUCGGUACUGUUUUGUUGGUUCACGGUGCUCGAGGUAAUGGUUGAAAGGGACUGACGGGGGCAUUCGUAUUGCGACGUUAGAGGUGAAAUUCUUAGAUCGUCGCAAGACGGACUACUGCGAAAGCAUUUGCCAAGAAUGUCUUCAUUAAUCAAGAACGAAAGUCAGAGGUUCGAAGGCGAUCAGAUACCGCCCUAGUUCUGACCUUAAACGAUGCUAACUGGCGAUCCAGUAGGGGUAUUUAAAAUGACCUGCUGGGCAGCUUCUGGGAAACCAAAGUUUUUGGGUUCCGGGGGAAGUAUGGUUGCAAAGCUGGAACUUAAAGGAAUUGACGGAAGGGCACCACCAGGAGUGGAGCCUGUGGCUUAAUUUGACUCAACACGGGAAACCUCACCAGGCCCAGACACUAGAAGGAUUGACAGAUUGAGAGCUCUUUCUUGAUUUGGUGGAUGGUGGUGCAUGGCCGUUCUUAGUUGGUGGAGUGAUUUGUCUGGUUAAUUCCGAUAACGAACGAGACUUUAGCCUACUAAAUAGAUGGCAGAUACUCAAAAGA